rnacentral:rRNA from 1 species
CCUACGGGUGGCAGCAGUGAGGAAUAUUGGUCAAUGGGCGUAAGCCUGAACCAGCCAAGUCGCGUGAGGGAUGAAGGUUCUAUGGAUCGUAAACCUCUUUUAUAUGGGAAUAAAGUGUGGGACGCGUCCUAUUUUGUAUGUACCUUAUGAAUAAGGAUCGGCUAACUCCGUGCCAGCAGCCGCGGUAAUACGGAGGAUCCGAGCGUUAUCCGGAUUUAUUGGGUUUAAAGGGUGCGUAGGCGGCCUUUUAAGUCAGCGGUGAAAGUCUGUGGCUCAACCAUAAAAUUGCCGUUGAAACUGGGGGGCUUGAGUAUGUUUGAGGCAGGCGGAAUGCGUGGUGUAGCGGUGAAAUGCUUAGAUAUCACGCAGAACCCCGAUUGCGAAGGCAGCCUGCCGAGCCAUAACUGACGCUGAUGCACGAAAGCGUGGGGAUCAAACAGGAUUAGAUACCCCUGUAGUC